rnacentral:rRNA from 1 species
CAGUCGCCGCGGGAAUACGAAGGGUGCAAGCGUUAAUCGGAAUUACUGGGCGUAAAGCGUGCGUAGGCGGUUUGUUAAGUCUGCUGUGAAAUCCCCGGGCUCAACCUGGGAAUGGCAGUGGAUACUGGCUCGCUAGAGUGUGUCAGAGGAUGGUGGAAUUCCCGGUGUAGCGGUGAAAUGCGUAGAGAUCGGGAGGAACAUCAGUGGCGAAGGCGGCCAUCUGGGACAACACUGACGCUGAGGCACGAAAGCGUGGGGAGCAAACAGGAUUAGAUACCCCAGUAGUCCCUGUCUCUUAUAC